CGCGUAGGCGGCUUUGUAAGUCUGAAGUGAAAGUCCUGCUUUCAAGGUGGGAAUUGCUUUGGAUACUGCAGAGCUUGAGUGCAGGAGAGGUAAGUGGAAUUCCCAGUGUAGCGGUGAAAUGCGUAGAGAUUGGGAGGAACACCAGUGGCGAAGGCGACUUACUGGACUGUAACUGACGCUGAGGCGCGAAAGUGUGGGGAGCAAACA
rnacentral:rRNA from 1 species